CGGUUGAUCCUGCCGGAGGUUACUGCUCUGGGAGUCAGAUUAAGCCAUGCUAGCGGAGGGCAGUUCGGCUGCCCCGCGAAUAGCUCAGUAACACGUGGUCAAUCUACCCUUGGGAUUGGGAUAACCCCGGGAAACUGGGGAUAAUCCCAAAUAGGCGGGGGGUUCUGGAAAGGUCCCUCGCUGAAAGCCCUUACGGGCGCCUAAGGAUGAGACUGCGGCCUAUUAGGUAGUUGGUGAGGUAAAGGCUCACCAAGCCGAAGAUGGGUACGGGCCCUGAGAGGGGGAGCCCGGAGAUGGAGACUGACACGAGGCUCCAGGCCCAACGGGGCCCAGCAGGUGCGGAAAUUCGGCAAUGCGCGCAAGCGCGACAGAGUGACUCCCAGUGCCGUGGUCGCUAACGACCGUCGGCUUUUCUGGAAUGUAAAAAGUUCCGGGUAAUAAGGGCCGGGUAAGACGGGUGCCAGCUGCCGCGGUAACACCAGCGGCUCGAGUGGUAACCGAUUUUAUCAGGCCUAAAGCGUCCGUAGCCGGACUAACGGGUCCCUUGUGAACUGGGACGGUUUAACCGUUCAUCUUGCAGGGGAAACUGUUGGUCUCCAGGCUGGUAGGUGCCGAGGGUACUCCGGGGGUAGCAGGGAAAUGUUAUAAUCCUUGGGGGACUCCCAGUGGCUAAAGCGCUCGGCGAGGCCAGACCUGACGGUGAGGGACGAAGGCCAGGGUAGCGAACCGGAUUACAUACCCGGGUAGCCCUGGCUGUAACGGAUGUGAGUUAGGUGCUAGGCGCUUCUCGAGAGCGUCCGGCGCCGAAGGGAAGCCAUUAAGCUCGCCGCCUGGGAAGUACGGUCGCAAGAUUGAAACUUAAAGGAAUUGGCGGGGGAGCAC
rnacentral:rRNA from 1 species